UACGGGGGGGGGUAAGCGUUGUUCGGAAUUACUGGGCGUAAAGGGCUCGUAGGCGGCCAACUAAGUCAGACGUGAAAUCCCCUCAGCUUAACUGGGGAACUGCGUCUGAUACUGGAUGGCUUGGAUUCGAGAGAGGAAUGCGGAAUUCCAGGUGUAGCGGUGAAAUGCGUAGAUAUCUGGAGGAACACCGGUGGCGAAGGCGGCAUUCUGGACCGACAUUGACGCUGAGGAGCGAAAGCCAGGGGGAGCAAACGGG
rnacentral:rRNA from 1 species